AACCCGUAAGACACCUGAAGCAACAUUAGCAAAUACCUCUCCAGCAGCUUCCAGUAGGUCAUCUCGGGUUGCAGAGUAAUGCAUAAGGGAAGGCCUUGUCAAGAAGAGCGCCUUAGCACCCAGAGAUGGUAACGGUACUGGAUCUGGUGUACCUGAUGACUGUCCAAAAUUCACCAUGAACCCACGAGGCCUUAAGCAUGCCAAUGAUCCCUGGAUAUGAUAACUUGACAAUUAGAAACCUUUUACCUCCAAAUCCAAAGUAGAACUUGGGACUCUGCUAACUGAACUUCACCUACAAACUGGUCACCCUAGGUUGAGUUUUUGUGAAAUUGGCUUAAUGUCACUCUGGUUCGUUGAGAAUCAGUGUUUAUGACAUUGGGUUAGUUUAACAUUGAGGUCGACAAUCUUCAUUUAAAUAUAAUGUUCUAAUCUGUCUAAACUGAAAAAAAACCACAAAAGAUGACACAGGGAGCACAUGAACAAAGGAAAAAAAGAAAAAAAUGAAAAAAGAAAUAGAGUUAGCAAUACAGCCAAUGGGGGCACACACAAGAAUAGAGCUAACCUUAAUGAAAAUAGAGGUACCUUCUGAUAAACUAUCGUAACUGAAAGAUUGUAGUUUCUUUUGAUAAUGAUGAUAAAAUGGUCAUUACCUGAAAGGUGUCUUUUCCUACAGAAUCAUAAACAACAUGAACCCCAUUGCCAGAAGUAAUCUCAUUGACCCGGGCAACAAAAUCCUCUUCCUUAUAAAUUAUGACAUGGUGACAACCAUCCUCCUUGGCUUGAACCGCCUUCUCAUUUGUUGAAACAGUUCCAAUUACAGUGGCGCCAAGGGCAUUUGCCCACUGGCAUAAUAGAGACCCAACUCCACCAGCUGCUGCAUGGACAAGGACUAUGUGUCCAGGUUCAACCUGAAAUGGCAAGCAAUUUAGAUCCUUAGAAUGACUAGGUGUGAUUCUAUGAUGCAAAUAAUGCUAUAUUCUAAUUAUUUCAGUAAUGCAAAUGUGGAGAUGGAGACACUAAUAACUAGCUUCUUCUUCCUUUUGGUUGCUUCUCAAAUGGUUCAGCCAGAUACUUGACCACCAGACUCAAUGGGUUGGUUCAGUUCAGUUCUACAGGGUAUUCAAUUCAGCCGUUGCUUUGUCAAAUUCUGAACCGGAAUGCUGGUUUUGGGUUCUGGGAUGACCUGGCUAAACUGACCUAGAUCGCAAACUGGCCCCUAUAUAACAUGUACUGUACUGUAUAAUGCAUGUAUGAACAGUUCCAUUGUGCCAUUCUCAUUUUGGCAUCAAGUGCAUCAGAAUUUUGUAAUGUUAGCCCUUCAACACUUGCUGAAUAGCAUGCAGAGAGAGGCUUGAUUUAGCCCUCAUCUUUUGUCCAAGGGUUUGGCUGCUACCAAAUACUGUGACUUUUUUUGGGCUUAUUUAUACGGUUUUACCAUACUAUGUUAACAUGCUUUUUGUUGAACAUGGUAUUAGAGUCUUGUUUAGUAGGAGGUCAUGCAUCAGAACGUCACUACUAUAUAAUUAGAUCCCCAAUUUAUUAAAUAAGCCCAAAAAGACACUGAUUGUGGUUGUUUACCUACAAGUGUGUGUCUCUUCAUGUGAGGGAGGGUGUUGAGUGCAUGAUAUACAUUAUGGACUCAAAUCCUACAAACUUAAGCUUUUAGGAAAAUUGGUAGUUCAACACUUUUUAAAGGUUUCCUGAACGCUGGACAUAAAGAACUGGAUUUGUUUUGGUUCUAGGAUUUCUUAAGGGGUUUGCACUAUACUGCACAAAAAUCAGAUUUUAAGUACAACUCAGAAACUAAACUAACCAAUCUGAUCAUUGUCCAGAUUGGCCUGGCAAAACUGGGUUCGGUUUAUGGAACUCAACUAAACAGGGUUAGUUCACUUCUAGGUCAGCUAUAAACCAACCUGAACAUAGUUGCAUGAUAAUAUAAAGGAUUUAUAUUUUUUUAUCUUAGAGCAACACUAAAAUUAUUUGUGGAAUACUUAUUUUCUAUUUUUUUAUUUUUUUUUCUCUGAUCAGAUGGACAACCUACUUACAUUUUCAAUAAGAUGGAAGUUUUGAAAUCACAUUUGACAUAUUAAUUGCAGACCCUCUUGGCUUCAGGAGUGACUUCAAAAUAUUGCCUCAGAUAUUAGUUUCCGCAAAAAUUUAUAUAACAGUUUUUCUUCUCUUUAUAAUUUCCCUUCACUCAAAGAAAUGUAACAAGCUUUCAAGAAGAUAUCAAAUUGUCAAAUUGCCCAUGAUUCUGACAUGAGAUUAAGGUUAAAUUCUUAAAACCAUUUACAGAAUCUUCAUUACAUAAGUACUAGACAUGCCAUAAAAAGAUCUACAUCAUAUGGAGAGUAAGAUGUAUAUAUAUAAUUAUCUCACUUACCCUGAUAUUUCUAAACUUUUUUGGACCAUUAUUAUUACCUAAUUUUGGUUUAAAGCAACCAAUAGUUUAAGUCAUUCCCAUCUUAUAUGAACUCGAGUGGUCAGCUGCUGAUGUAUGUGUAUUUGUCUAAUUCACAGAUCUUGUGACACAGGGACACAGAGAUGAGGCCCACCUAAUGCAAGUAAAGGUAACAAACAAUUAACUCAAACCUAUGUUUCAUGAACUCUGGUACAAGUGUCCAUUGAUGGUGUCUGUUUAAGCAUCAAAUUUGUCUAGGACACAAGGAUAUGACUAAAUAAUCUAAUUUCCCUUUUCUAUCGUACUACCCCUUAUGUCAAAUUGAAGUGCAUAACAAAGGUGUCAAAUUUCCGAUAAUAGUUUAAGGUUGCUUAUAGUGCAAUAGGAACUUGUUCUUUGUGUUUGUUGAACAACCUAUCGAAUAUAUAUCCAAACUCUUGUCAUGUCAUGUCCAGCAAUGUUGCUUCACAUAUUUUGAAGUGUCCAUGUAACAUAAACUCAUGCAAAUAGAUAGAGUGGAUUAUCAACACGAGGCCAUGCAGAAAACCUAUUACUAUACAGUGAUAUGCACCUGCCUAACUAGAAAAUGUAUAUAAUAACACGCAAACAUUUGGGCGUACAUGUUCCCAAGAGGAUUUCAAUGAACACAGAUUAGGAUGACAUAAUCAAACCUUCUUCCCAUUCAAAAAUUAAGUCAUACCCUAAUUUCAAUGAAUUUUGUGACCAACUCAAAAUGCCGCUGGAUUGACAUAUAACCUACCUUGAAGCAGCAACGGACAAGAUAAUGAACUGUCAUACCCUUAACCAUGAUUGAUGCUCCAACAGUAGGGUUGAUAGAGGGAGGUAAUGGCACCACUUUGUUUGCGGGAAGAAUCUGCUCUUCACUAUACGAGCCCAUUGAGCCACCAGCAUAAGCAACAACAUCUCCAACUUUCCAGCCAGUUAUACCAGGGCCAACAGCUGUUACCACUCCAGCAGCCUCCACACCUGCAACCAGGGAAAACUCUGGAAAAUUAGUCAGUUUCACUUUAUAACCUCGGAUCAAAAUGGUGAAUCCAUGUCAAAUUCCUGCACUAAUAAAAAUUCUUAAGAUCUCCACAUGUAUCAUGACUUUUAAAGUCUCAAAAAAUGAAAAAACCUUCAAAAGAUCCAUUUGAGAGUUCAAUAAUCAAUCCUUAUAGCAAAACAUAUACAUUAGGACUCUAGCAUCUUGCUUUCCAGAAUUCUUGCAAAAGCUCAUGUAAAAUAUAUCAUGUCAUUUCUUAAGCUAAAAGUUCAUGAUCCCAUUUUUCUAAUUUCGUUUUCUUUUUCUUUUUAUUUUUUUUCAUAGGAUUUUCUAGCUUCACUUCAUUGAUAAGGUUGGCUCCAUAUAUAGGUGGAACAGGUAGAAACAAAGAUCAAAAUUAUCUUGCAAAAAAUAAUAAUUAAGGUAUCAAACAAAUAAUUAACACCAAAUUCCAGUCUCUGAAUUUGCUGUCUUGGCAAAAAUAAGUUAUGCACAAGACAUGAGAGAUAAAUGCCACACCAGUGUUUGUGCCAACAACAUAACAAGGAUAAUGGAAAGAUUGAGUUUCCAUGGAGGGAAGAGUAAGACCAAUAUUGUACACCUUUUUGUUUCUGAGAUAUGAUACUUGAUUGAAAUAAAGAGAAUUACUAGGAUGAUAAAUCCUUUGAAACAGCAACAAGCCAUAAAACCAAGAGUAUAUCCAAAAGGGCAUUGCAGCUAUUCUAUGCCUCAAAACAAAUCAAGGCAGGUAGCUAUUUUCAAUAAAUAACUUUAAGAAUGGUUGUGAUGUGCAAGACUGCAAGACUAAAUCAUUUUUCUCAAACUGCUGAAUUAUGGAAGCAAGACUAUCACAAUAUUUUUGCAUUCAGGAAAUAUCAUAAGCAGAUGAACCACAUUGUUCAAGGUCUAAAACUGUGAUUGAAGUUCAUGAUUUUAGAUAUAAAAAGAAAACCUUACUCAGGUUUUUCCACAUAGUUUGAAAUGGGAGAAAACAUUUCCUCGGAAAAAGACAUGAUUGAUCAGCAGAAAUACAAUUUUUUUUUUUCAUUUUUUUUGUUUUGUUUUAUGCCAUGCAGGUUGAGCAAAUCAGUAACUUUUCAAGCAGUAACGAAGGUGGACACUCUGGCUAUGGAUGAGUUCAAAUUAAAUAUUGAUGAUAUCAAGAUUCCUGAGUAUUGAUGAGAACUGGAUAUCAUAAAAUAGGCAUUUGAUACCACAGAGCUUUGUGUAGGAAAUAACAGCAAAGAAUGGAAAUGCUUAAAGAUGGAUCAAAAUGGAAUGUUAUUGUUUUCCUUGAUAGCAGUAAGUACAAAUUGAAGAAAAAUUGUUAGUGUUAAAGAUUUUUUGGAGCAUGAUAUAUAUUGUAAGCCACAUCCUAACAAGCUUAGGCUAUGUUUGGUUCCCAAAAAAUUUGAGGAAAAUUGUGAGGGAAAGAAAAAAUAGAAAAAAAAUAUAAGGCAAGCCAAUAAAUUAUUUUUAUAUAUUACUUCAAAUUGACUUCAUUUAUUAUAAUUAACUUGCUUUUGCAUUUUUUUAUAGUAAAACCAAAUAUGAAAAAAAUCAUUUUCUUUAACAUCUUUUCCUUUAUGCUUUCCAGGAAUCAAACAGUCUUAAGCUUUUAGGAAAAUUAGUUACUUAACAUGGUAUAAGAGCUUUGGUUAUCCCAUCUAAUUAUUUGUGAUCACAAAUUUGCCACACAUUUGUGUGUUCCCGUAAUGAUAAGAACACUUGAGGUUGCACAGGAUAUGAAUUUUAAUAUGACAUUCUUUUUGUGGCUGUAAUGUUCCAUAAUUGCUCUUAUACCCUAAAAAUGCAUCCUGAAGCACUUGAUUGUUCUCCUGAAAAGAAUACUCCUGCAGUAAGAUGUUUACCAUCAGAAAUCCUAUCCUUAUUUUACUUAUCUUUGUAAGUAAUCAUUUUAUAUAUCAGUCACAAUACUUUUCUUUAGACUAUUAAACAUGGGAAGACAAACCAAUCAGAAGGUGAUGCCCUGCUAUAUUUGAAAAUUUAGGCUCGCAAAUGAAGUAACCACACAUGAUAUAUGCCCUAACCAGGACGUUAGCACUCACAUAGUUAUAACUACUUAUGCAUCAUUCUACUUUCAAUGUUGACAGGAAUGAGAUUUUCUUCCUUAAUGCAGUAGAUGAAAUAACACAAACCUGGGGUGAAUGGCAUUGUAGCAAUCUUAUAAACUCCUUUGCGGAUGUAGACAUCAACGAAGUUAAGUCCAAUGGCCUGGAUCUUCACACGGAUCUCACCUUCAUUUGGCUCUCCUAUUUGAACAUCCUCCCACUUCAGGACCUAUUAUCGUUUUGAUCUUCUAGUAAGUAAAAAUGUUGGAAGCACAUUCAUAUAUGGGUGCUCCAAAAUUACAGCUACUCAAAUCAGGACAUAGUAUAUGGAAAUGUAGCAAAAUGUAAACAAAAAGGUUAAUAAUUCAAAUGAAAUCAUGAUGCAUGGGGAAGUGAAAUGCAAGGAGGGUAAAUGUUUAGUAUCACUUAAAGAACUCUAAGGAUCACUCCUAGAAACCUUUAGGCUUCAAGCCCAAGUGCUCUUCAUAUCUCACAAAGAAACUAGUGGAUGUUGGAAAUUUUUAUCAUUCAUUCAUUAAUUCUCUAAGCAGAUUUCACUUUACAAGUUUUUUACUGUUAAAAUUGAAAUUGAUAUAGUCCAAAUUCAUCCACCACAUAACAUUUGCAAGUUGUUACCAAGGUUUAAAAUGUAUAUGGCCAAAAUAUCGUGUAUCGGAGGCAACUGACACAAUCCUCAGCCAACUGAUUUAUCGAUAUUUUGCAGAUUUUCACCGAUUUUUAUGUCACAUCUUCCAAAAUCUGGAAUUGAGUUCUCAAAAUUGGGCCCAAAAGCUUGCUUACGGCAACCCUCCUUGCCCUUUGAGCCCAGCCCAAUGUGGGAAUGAAAUGAAAUAUAACUUGGUUGUAGAGGGGUAGGAUUGAACUCAUGACCUCAGGCAUUACAAGGAGCAGCUAUGCCACCAAGCCAACUUUGUAUUCUAUAAUAAUGUAAUAAUGUGAACAUCAAUUUAUAUAUAUUUAAAUUAUAAAACGUAAAUAUCCUAUACUUAUCUAUUUAUAUUAUAAAUAUUAUCUAUAUAUAUAAACACAUAUUAAAAUUAUAUAUGCAUAUAUUUAUAUAUAUUAUAAAUUAAUUAAAAUAAAAUUAUUACAAAUAAAUUAAUUUUAAUUAUCCCUAUAAUAAUUAAAUAUAAAAUAAAUAUAAAUUUAUAAAUAAAAUUAUCAACAUUUUAAAAUAAAAAAUAAUUAUACAUGUAUCAUAAUUUCUUUUAUUGUAUUGAAUACAUUCAAAUUAUAUAAAUUUCUAUAAAAUGUACUUUUAAAUUCUGAAUAUUACAAAUUAUAUUAUCCAUAUAUCAAUUUCUUUAGCAAAACAACCUCAAAUUGUCCAUUAUUACUUCUUUAUCAUUUUCUAGAAUUUUUCUUAACAUUUUCAUGAGUUUUAAUUGAUUUUUUCCUAAUCGAUGUUUUAUUUCAGAAUAUCCACUGAUAUUUCCCGAUAUAUCCGUUGAGUUACCUUUCAUCCUUGGUUGUUGCUACAAACUAAAUUAAAGCAUGACCAAAUACCAUUGCAUUCUAAAUACUCCUAAUGUCAAUUAUGAGGAAUACAUCAACACUAAACAUAAUCUUCCCAAUUUGUCAAUAAUCAACAUAAACCUUAGAAGAAAUGACCAACUACCAAAAUACACAAGUAAGAAAAAAAAGGUCAUAACUUUUUCAAGACAAGAAACAGAGUAACUACAAUAGAAAUGAUGUAGCCCUGCUCUAUGUUGCUGAGAAAAACUGAGGAAAAGAAAAGAAAUUGUUAAAGAUCGUGGAUUCUCAAAAUCAACAUCCACCUCGAGAAACCCCAGGUAAUAGACUGGGCUUGGUCAAGGGAAGGCCUUUUUGUUUUCCAAGCUCCCAAAUAAAGAAAAAAUAAAACAUUAAAUUUCAAAAGUUUUAACUUAUUGGCAUUUUCCUCCAUUUUCUCAGCAACCAAACAGAGCAAACAGGCAAAACAUGAAAUUGGGAAUUCAAGCACAGAAUUGGGGUUGUUCCGAAUGGAUUUAAUAAAACUGGGUAAUCGUGAUUUUAGACAAAGAGAGACAGACCUCAGGGCCACCAAGUUCAUAAACCCUGAUGGUUUUUACCAUUUGUUGCAGCUGCUGACGUGGAAAAUGCCCUAGGCACUGGUUUGGCAAUGAAUUCGGGUUCUAAGGAGAUGUUCUCCUUCUUACUGAGCAGUAUCUGAAGUAGAAGUAGUAAAGGUCUUUUCUGGUAAUGGCCUGGAAAAAAUGGGUCUGGGAGUGGCUGGCGGAGAAAACCCCGCCUUGAAAGAUCCAUUUACCAAACUAGUUGACGUUUCCUAUGUCUCCACUCUUCGAUAACGAUGGAAAAGUUAUGUAUGCAGUGAUAACAGCAUGUAUAUGUUUUAUACUUAUUAAAUUUCAAAGUUUAUAAUAACUGGCCUCAGGUUUUGACCACAUACAUCUAACCAUUCAAAUUUCAUUACGUAAUUUUCUUAUUUCGUAUUUCGUGUAAUAGGGGAGACGAGUGAAAAUAAGAAAUUAUAAGAAUAAACGAGGUGUUUGAUGAAAUUUUAAAUUUAUAAGGACUAGAUGUAUUUAAUCGAAAUUUGGAGUUGAAUGAAAUUGACCUUUUAUAAUAAUAAUAUUAAUCAUUUACAAAAUUUGCACCCAAUGAACACGAGGAAUGUAAAUUUUGCAAAAUAUAACCUUUAACCAAUGUUUAGAAUAUGGCAUGAAGGAAGAGAUAAUCGAAGAGCGUAUAUACUUCAUCCUCAAUUAAAUAUAAGUGGGGGAAAAACUUGAAGUAUAUGGUAUCAUAGCAACCUUAUGCCUGUUUUGAUAACUGUUUUCAAAAACAAAUUUUUUGUUUUCCGUAUUAAAAAAGUAAGAAAACAUGUUUUACCACUAAAAAAACAAAAAAUAGGUUUUUAUUCUUAAACAGAAAAAAAAUGUUUUGAAAUAAUAGCUAGGAUCUAAAAGUGAAAUGGAGAGGGGAAUGAGAGAUAAUGAGAUAACACCAAAAUUUAUGUAGAAAACCUCCAAGGAAGUAAAAAACCACGGGCCUAGAAUCGAUAAAAAAAACAUAUCUAUGAAGAGCAAUCAAGGUGUACAAGGAUUUACCUAACUUAAGAUCUCCAAUCCCUCACGGACUACUUGACAAGCACCUUCUCACCUCACCACCAUGCCUUCAUAUUCAGGAACAUGCUUCGAGUCCUUUCCAAGCUUGAUCUCGACCUUCUUUUUGAAACUCCCAUCAAAAAAGAAAAUGGGUUUUCACCCAAAACCAAAUGAUUGAGAGAUGAACGUUCAAUGAACUCAACUUAUUUUUCUUUUUAGAAAAUUCAUUGAAAGAUUGACUUGAAGACUUGUAUGAAAUUUUCUUGGAAAGCAAACAACCUAAAAGAGGAAAGGGAACCAAGAGCUCAAUGCACAACUAUUGCUUUUUGCUUUGUAGAAAUGAGAAAUUUUCAUUUUAAAUGGAGAUGAAACCCUUAAUCCAAUGGCCGGAAAAAGAUUAAAAAAAAGGUAACUAAGAUCGAUCUAUCCUUGCACUUGGAUCAAUCUAGAAACAAGGAAAUAUCAAACUUCUAGCAAAAAAUAUAUUUUUUCAUGCUUCCCUAACUCUUUUAAAGUGAUUCAAGACAAUCAACAUAUUGAAAAUAGGGUUGAUUCAAAUUUAUUCAACACAAACUCAAUUAGUUACCUUGGUUUCUCAACAAAUCCAAUAUCUUGAUCUUCAUUAGGUAAGUAGUCCGAUAAUAGAUUUAGAGAACCAUAGCUAGUAGACACUUAGGUAUUUUGUCCGAAAUUGUCAACCUAACUACAACACUCAUAACUUAUGCGGAAAAAUUGUUCAAAAAUAUUUUACUAUUUUUAAUUUAUUUUAUUUUUGAAUAAUUUUUAGAGAAAUGAAGUGAAUCCAUUUUUUUUUACAUCAAAUUUUACUUUCUAUAUAAAAUUAUUACUAUUUAAUUUUUUUUAAAAUAUAUAAAGUAUAUUCAAACAAAUACUUAAUAAUAAUAAUUAAUAAGAAUUUAGAUUCAACGGAUAAUUGCCUAAACAACCAAUUCAAGUGAAGAAAAGGUGAAAUGGUUUUCACAAAUAAAUAUAGCAAGAAAGACCAACUAUGAAUUUACACAAAAAAAUAAAAAAAAAUAAAAAUCUUAAUUAUUUUCAAGAUAAGAAAGAGAAAAACAAUAAAAUUAAAUAAGUCUGAAAAGAAAAGAAAAUUCUUGAAUAUCAUGGUUUCUCAAAACUCAACAUUCAAUUAAAAACCCAGAUAAUAAAAAAUGAAAAUUAAAAUGUUUAAACUUGUCAUAAAUUUUUCCUCCAUUUUCUCAGCCAUCAAAAAAGCAAAUUGUAAAGAAUAAAAUUGGGAAUUUCAACUAAAGAAUUGGGUUUGUUCUAAAUGAAUUUUGCAGAAGUGGGUUUGGCUUUUACCUGAGGGGGACCAUAGUCAUGAACCCUAUUGGCUUUUACCAUGGUUACAGCUGCUGCAAUUGUGGGAAAUGCCCUAGGAAGAGGGUUUGCUUCUUGUUUUCAGCUCUAUUAGGAUGAAUAUUUGUUGAAAUGACCAAACAUAAAUGGGUCUGGGGCUGUGGCCAUGUAAUCUAACUCCUAAAAACCCCAUUUACCAAAUUAUGUGACCCUUUUUGGUUUCCUUCUUGGACACUAAUGAAAGUUGUCCCUCAUUAUAAAUAACUAUCAUAUCUAAUUCAUCCAAAAUACCCAUAAAGUCAUUGUUCCAUUUUCUUUCUAUCAUUGUUCUAUUUUCUCUUUGCAUUCAUUUUUAUACAGUUGUUAAUACUUAAGUCUACUUUUUUGAGUAGAUAUUGAAAACAUAUCACCUGAUGUUUGUUGUAAUCUUGUUUGCCUACACCUUUAUUUAAUGGUUCAAAUUUAGAAUUUGAUUGCUCUGAUACUAUGGGCAACUUGAGCAAUGAGCCUAUCACUCCAAGCAGGGUUUUCCCAAUAAAGUCUAUUUGACCAAGCUUGUUCAAGCAGACUAAUGAAGUUUAAAAGUAGGUUGAAACUGUCAACCAUUACACAUUAUUAAUAGGGUAACAUUAAGAAGUAAAUAUCAAACUUAAAGGAGUCAUAAAACUACACAAAAGUUACAAAAUUCAAUCCUAUAAAAUAGGAGAGCAAUAGAAAAAAUAGGUAUGAAAAACUAUCAAAUACAAAAUCUAACUUGAUCUUCAGAGGUGUUUGUCUAGAAUAUAUCAAAACAUACCCUUUUGCAAGCUAUUGACGUAGCCAUCCAAAGGGUUGAACUCAAUCAAGGACCAAUAGGUACCACUUAUCUACCUUAACAUUUUUCAAUACAUAUGCAUAACCCUUUUAUCCCUUUUCUUUUUUAAUUCAUUAUUUAAAUACAAUAGUGCACAUAGAGCAUAGGAAAUAGACCACUCUAAAAAAAUGAAAACCAAAGAUGUUAAAUACACCUCUUUAUCAUGGAUUUUGAUAAAAAUACAUUACCAUAAAAAAUUUGAUAAUUUAAAUUAACUCAAGAAUAAUGUAAAUUUAGAAAUAAUUCGUGAAUUGUCAUAUUUUUUAUUUUUUAUUUUCAAAAUCCCCCAAGCGUCGAUUACUCUUGUUAGGACAUUUUUUUUACGUAUUGACAAUUUUGUUUCUUUUCAUUUUAGCAUAAAAACCCUUUUAUAUGUAACUCACUUUUCAUUGAAGACUUAAAGUUGCUAAUUAUAAAAUUGGAUUGUUACAGGGAAGUCCAAAAAGGAAUGUUAAAGGUAAGUUAGGUUAUAAAAAUGUAUUGAUUGGAUCGAUUUCUCAAAAUUGGUUUGAACAUGUUUUAUUGAAAAUUAUCAUUGAGUCUAUGUAUAGUUUGUAGCAACAAGGAGUUAUGUAGACUUUGGGUGACUUGGUGUAGUUUUGAUUGGUGUACCUUGUAAGUGUAUUUUAGAGGGCAAGUAAAACGUACUUUUAGUGCAGAGGCAAAAACUUUAGAUUCAAAAUCACUUUUUAAAGAAAAAAACUUCCUAAAAAACCUAGGGGAAUCAUAUAAACAUGCAUUAACUAAAAUAAUAAUUUUUUUUAGAAUUUUGACUUUUGGAUUCACAACAUGUACAUUUUGGGAAAAAUAAUCCCCUUUUACGUGCACUUAAAUAGUAACACUAUCAUAAUGUCAAUACUAUCCUUCAACCCACCUUCUCACCAACCAAUUACAUCAAAUAUAUAUAUAUUUUUAGUUUAUUUUAUUUUAUUUUAUUUUAUUUUCUUAACUUUCACAUGUAGUGGAACCAUCCCCGCCAAUGCCACAUGAGGUUUUUUAUUUUUAUUUUUAUUUUUUAUUUUUUAACUUAAUAAUUGAAGUGUGCUAAUAAUUUCCCCUCAUGAAAUCUUUUAAUUUCAUUUUUUCACUCUUAUUUAUAGGAACUUUAAACUAAUAAUAAUCAUAAUAAUAAUAAAUAAUUAGUAAGAGAAAAUUUAAUAUAAAAAUAAAUACGUAAUAAAUAAAUUUAGAGGUUUAAGAAAUAAGAUUUUAUAUAUUCAUAUUAAAUAAAAUAUUUAUUUAUUUAUCUAUUUUAUAAGUCUUAUCAUAUUAUUCUAUUGUUUUGUGAACCCCGCAUUUCGGCUUAUGCGUCCCACUCGAUGGCAAGCUCGAUUUUAAUUUGAAAAAAAAAAAGAAUUUUAUUGAUUAAAAAAAUUGACUUAGAGUCGCCACUUAUUUUUGUUUUAUUUUUAAAAGGGUAAAUAAAAUAAGAAAGAAAAACCUUAAGUGUGACUCCUUAUUUUGGAAAAGGCGGUCUGUGAAGAACCGGAUCGGGUCCGGGGGUCAGGUUGCUUAUCGGGAAGGUACGGUAAAGACCAUAGUACCCCUCUAAGCCCCUAAAGUUAGGUCUCUAUUAAUAAAAUGAAGCUGACAUGGCAAUCAAUAGGAAAAUCAAUGGAUACUCAAGUCGAUUAGGCGCAUAUGGGAAUCAGAAUAUGCAUAGAGAAUGACCAGAAUAGGAACGGAUGCAUACCUGGGCCACGAACGAGCGAUGCGCUAUCAUAAAAACGGAGUCAGUGCACAAUAAAGAGCACGAAAUAUAUCACAUGCGUUACCAAACAUAAAUUAAAAUUGUUCGAAGGAAAACUGGCUUUUUGAAAUUCAUUUUGAAAAUCGGAGUCUUAGAGAUUAUUUUGAAAAUUGGAUUUUUAGAAAUUAAAUAUAAGAAUGAGAGUUUUAGAAAUUAAAUUUGAAAGGAAAUGGAAUUUCAGAGAACUAAAUUUGGGAAUCGGAAAUUUGAAGAAUUAUUUAAAGACGGAAUUUUAAUAAAUAAAUAAGUGAAUAAAUAAAUGAAUGGAAUAAUAAUAAUGAUGAAAUAAUAAAGAUUAGGUACAUAAUUACAAAAAAUAGAAUUUUAGAUAUUGGAGAUUGAAUUUAAAGACUUAAAUUUUGGGGAAUUAUUUGGAGAUGAGAUUUUAAAUGUAUGAAUAAGUGAAUGAAUAAAUUAAAUUCGGAAGUCAGAUUUUUCAAGAAUUGAAUUUUAAUGAUUUGAAUUUUUAAAAGAAAUAAAUAAAUAAAUAUGAAAUAAUAAUAAUAAUAAUAACAAAAAUAAUGGUUAAGCGGAUGGACGGGAAUAGUGGAAUUUUUGAGAUUGAAAAUUAAAUUCGAAAAACGGAAUUUUGAAAAAUUGAACUUUAAUUAUUAGAAUUUGUAAAAUAAAUUAAUGAAAUAAUAAUGCUAAUUAACGGAAAUAAUAUUUAAAUGAACAAAAUGAAUAGUGAAAUUUUUUGGGAUUGAAAGUUAAAUUAGAACACUAGAUUUUUGAAGAAUUGGAUUUUAAUGAUCAAAAUAAUAAAUAAAUAUGGAGCAAUAAUACUAAUUAACGAAACAGUAUUUAAACAAGUAAAAAUGAAUAGUGGAAUUUUGGGAUUAAAAGUUAAAUUAGGAUGCUAGAUUUUUUAAGAAUUGGAUUUUAAUGAUCAAAAUAAUAAAUAAAUAUAGGGUAAUAAUACUAAUUAACGAAAACAGUAUUUAAACGAGUAAAAAUGAAUGAUGGAAUUUUUGGGAUUAAAAAUUAAAUUAGGACGUCAGAUUUUUUUAAUAACUGAACUUGAAUAAUUUGAAUUUUUAAAUGAAAUAAUUAAAAAAAUAUGAGAUAAUAAUAAUAAUAAUAAUAAAUAAUAUUUAAACGGAUGAAAGUAAAUGGUGGAAUUUUUGAGAUUGAAUAUUAAAUUAGGAAGUUGGAAAUUUUAAAGAAUUAUUUAGAAAGAAAAAUGAAAUUUUAAAAAUUAAAUUGAAAAAUAGGAAUUUCAGAAAAUUAUUUGAGAAUGGAAUUUUUAGCGAUUAUUUGAAAAUUGGAAUAGAAAUGGGAUUUUUCGUGAAAUCGGGAUUUUAAGAAUCAUUUAAAAAGAAUUUACGGAAAUAAGACAUUUGACACCAAUCAAGACACGUAAAAAAAAAGAACAAAAACAAAAAAAAGGUAAAAAUAGUAAUAAGAAAAAUAAUAAUAAAAUCCACCACAUGAGACCACAACUGGGCCACGCAACAGUAACUAAUUUAUUCAAAAAGAAAACUUGAAGUGCCUGCCACUUAUGAGAAAUACCAUGCCACCAUGCCACCAUUGACUUUUCAUCAUAGUUUAUUUAAACUUUCUUAUGUCCUUAGUGAGUGGCCUCUUCUGGAAGACGGAGAACGAAGCCCCAUUUCUCCACUAAAGCAACAGCCUGCAGCCCAUGUACACUCGGCAGCACACAAAUCACCAUGUAGAGCCUCAUUCCACUUCCUAAAAGGCAGCAAGAGACUCGCGACAUGCUUACAUGACUAGGUGUCUCAUGGCAUUUGCAUGGAGCUUCGUUUACAUGGGUAUGAAUAUGGAUGGGAAGAAACGGGCACGAAAUGGGCAUGAGCGUGGGAUGAGCAAGAUGCUGUCAUGCAUGGCCAUGCGUGGCCAUGCAAAAGUGGUAAGUGAUGGGUUUAAAGGAUAGGUGAACAAUGAGGAAGCUGGAUAGAGCUGUGGGCAUAAAUGGUGAUCAGUUCAAUAACUUGAAUUCUUGACAUUCCCGGUUCAUCACAUUCAGAAACCACUCGGAACUAAAAACAUUUUAAAGGUCCCAGGUAGUUUACAAAAGUAAUGGCUGGUAUUUAUUUUUAGAAGCAAGAGGAGGGGGACUCGGGAAGCAGAGCAUAUUCAAAACAACAUAAGCAAUACAAGUAAAGAGCAAUGGCUUGACUGAUCAAGUAAUACGUUAAAUAAAUAAUAAAAAAAACAGUCCACACUUCAAUUAUUUAUGAGAGAAAUCAAAGAAAUCACGAAACAACCAAAACGGAACAGGCAUGAAAUCAAACUCAUAUUCAGCCAAACUCAACCCAUAAACACCCAAACUGAUGAUGCUCAAGUAGCAAAAACAAACGAUGAAGAGCAGAGGAUAUGAGAUCAGCGAGAGAAAUAUCCUGCAAACUCACCUGAGAAAGCCCUUAGGUAGAAUUUCUUCCUUCAAACCACCUUCCUUCUCCAGCUCUAACAGCUCGCUUGCCUUUCCUCUUUUCCUCAAGUUGCUCGUCACUCUCUCGCCACCAUGCUCUCCUCCCUAGGCUCUCUAAAACUCUCUCUCUCUCUCUCUCACCCCCGUAACUCCCUCUCCUCUUCUUUUCCAUUUCUCCUAUCUUCCCCCGCAAGCCAUCAGCUACUCCACUAUUCACCGGUCAGCAGGCAUGGCUCCUCAACCACCCACCUGCAGCUGCACGUCCAUGCCUAGAGAAGGGAUCCAGCCUGCCGCUGGGGGUCCCCUACCUCUUCUAAAAAUAUCAUGAGAAGUCCUGAAAAAUCACCUCCCCAGGCCCUUACCACCAAAGGGGGUCUACAUGUUUAUACUUUAUUCAAAUUGCAUAAUUAAGGGCAUAAUAGCUUCCACUAAGGUGGGAAGGAUGUAUGUUGAAAGAAAGAUACCACUUAUUUACAAAGAAAGUAACAUUGAUGUGUGUUGAAAGUAUAAUUGAGGUGGAAAAAAUUAAUGUAUUGCAUUUUGGUUUAAGAUGAAGUACAUCGAAGGGUACUAUUCCCUCUAAAGAAAGUAAUACUAAAUGUAUACUAAAAACAAUAUUAAUGUGUGUUGAAAGUACUACUUAGGUAAGAAAAAUAUACCGCACUUUUAGUUUAAGGUAAAGUAUGUUAUUAUCUAUUACGUAUUCCAUAUUUUAUGUAAUGGUGAAAUAAUAUGAAAUACAUGCGACUUUUUACACAAUAACAUCCACCGAUACAGCCCUUGGAAAAAAGACCACUAUAUUAUGAAAAAAGUAUCAUUUGAGGAUGUGUUAUUUUUUCUUUGUCGCACAUGAAACUAUAUUAUUUUUUUCCUAGUAUAUUUGAAAGAUAUGUAUUUUCAAUAUGCAAAAUUUUUAAUUAUUAAUAAAAUUAACAGAAAAUUAAUAUAAAUUAAUAAAUACAAUAUUUUUAUGAAAAAUAUAUAUUUUUUUUAUUUUUUUUUAUAUAAAAAAAAUUUAAAAUUUUUAAUCAAGUAAAAUGUUAGAAUCAUAGUCAAUUUUUUUUUUUUACUUUAUAUUAAUAAGAAAAUUUAAAAUUUUUAAGAGAAAAUGUGUAGUCAAACAUAAAACAAAAAAAAUAAAAAUAAAAAUGGUCAAAGGUAGAUAAGGUAAGUGAAAAAAAAAGGAAAUUAAAAAGGUAUGACAAGAAAAUGCAUAGUUAACAUUAAAAAAGAAGUCAGUGGUGAAGAAGCUGAGGCAGAGGAGGAAAAAAAAUCGAAAAGUAUGAUAAUUACACAUGUGCUUUAAUUUUUUAUUUGAAUGAUUUCCUUGAAACCUAUCGCACUAAAAAAUGAAAAUAGAUAAAAUUUUGAAAUAACUGAAAAAAACAUAUAUUUUAUUUCCCUCAAAUUUUUCUUAGGUUAUAUUUGCUUCUGGAAAAUAUUAAGAAAAGAAAAAAAUAUGAAAAAAAAUGAUUUUUUUUUCAUGUUUGGUUCUCCUAUAACAAAUAUAAAAGAAAAUCAAAUAUAAUUAAAACUAAUUAAAAAUUUAUGUAUUUUUAAAUCAUUUAAUUUUUAUAUUGAUAAGUUAAAAUAAAUAAAAUGAGUUUGAAGUAGUAAAAAAAAAUUUAUUAACUUUUAAUCUAUUUUUUUUUAUUUUUCUUCAUUUUUUUUCCUUCUAUUUUUUCUUUAUAUUUUCUUUCCCUUACAUUUUCCCUCAAAUUUUAUGGGAACCAAAUAUAGUCUCAAUAAAAAUAGAAUUUUUUAGAUUAAAUAUACAAAAUUUUUAAAUAAUUAAAAACUUAAAUAUUUUAUUUCCCUUGACCUUUUUCUUAAUAAAAAAUUAUUAAUGAUUACUAAUUUUAGGUGUAUUAUAUUAUUUUUAAAUAAAUAUUAAGAAUGCAAAAAAUGGCAAAGAGCUUAUUUUAUAGGCAUGGAAGAGGUCAUCUCUCUCCCUUCAAAUUACAUUACUUUUUUUUUUGUCAUUUAUAAGUAAUAAAAAAACGUUUAGUAUAGAAAUAAUUGCUAUUUUAUUUUAAAUUGAUUAAUAAUUAAAAAUUAUUUCUCUUAAUCUUGAAUUUUUUUAUAUUAAAAAUUCAUUAAUAUCAAUUAAUUAUAAAAUAUGAAAUUAAUUUAUUUUUCUAUAUUUUUAUUCUUUUGACGGUUACAUUUUAAAUUAAAGAAUAAUAAUUUUAAUUUUAAAGUUCAUCUCGUAAAAUUAUUUUAAAAAUUAAAACAAAAUAAAAUUAUUCAUUUUUAAAAAAUUAUUUAAUACACUAAAAAUAUCUAUAAUAAUUUCUUUUUUAUAAAUUGAAAUAGAAUAAAAUAAUAUAUAUAUAUAUAAAUUUAAAGCUCCAAUAAAAUAAAAUUCAUAAUUUAUUUUAAACGUUCUUAUUUUUGUCAAGUUUUUGAACAUUUUUGUAACAAGUUAAAUAUAAUUUAAUUUAAUUUAAGAAACUAUUAAUAUGAUCACCUAUAAAAAAAUUAUUUUUUUAUAAGUAAUAAAUAAAGUUUAAAAAUUCAAAUAUUUAUUAUUUAUCAUAUAAAUAACGAAAGAGGAUAAAAUUAAAUUAGUUUAUAUUUUUAAUAAUAAGUAAUUAAAUUAAUUUAAAGAUAAAAAUAAUUUUUUUUUAAUCAAUAUCUAAUUUAAUAUAAAAUAGGUCAUUUUUGUCAACCUACUCUAACACAUGCAUGUGAAACCUAUGUAACCAUAGGCAGGGUGGCGUGCGAUGUUGUCCUAAGGUGUGCUUUGAUGCUUUCAACACUUGAGAUGACAAUUACUAACCAUAUAUAAAAAAUAAAAAUUGAAUAAAUUAACAUAAUAAACAUGAAAAUAUAUGGGAAAAUUAUGUUUUGGGCCAACUAGGCCCAAAAAUUAAACUAUGAUCCAUAUAUGUUCCAUAUUUAAGCCCAACACCCAAUGAAAGAGUAGAAAUUGAGAGUAAGGAUAUUAUCUUUAAAAAAUCCCUAAAAUACUCUUAACCAUUAAAUGAAAAAACUAACAAAUCACCUCACCUUUCUCAUUAUUUCUUUGACUCUUUUGUCCUUCUCUCACUUAUUUAAUAGUGGAACCAACUUGAAUCAUUUUUCUUCAUCAAAUAUGAAAGAUGGUUAAAAAUUAUUAUUAUCAAAUGUACUUUUGAAGUGAAUAACUUUUAAAUACCUCAUCAAAUAUUAUUCUUUUUUUCAAACUUACAUAAUAUAUGAUAAAUAUUUUUUAAAUAUAUUGAAAACUUACAUAAUAUAUAAUAAAUAUUAUUCUUUAUUUCAAACUUAUAUUAUUUCUCAUAUAUAUUAAAUAAUUUUUAAACACCUCAUAAAAUAUUAAUAUUAUUUGUUUGUUCUAACUUGUAAAUUAGAUAUCAUCAAAUAUUAUAUUUUUUUUAAAAUUUAUAGAACAUAUAAUAAAUACUUUUUAAAUACCUCAUAAAAUAUUAUUAAUUUUUUUUUCUAACUUGCAAAUUAAACACAUGGUGUUUAUUAUUUUUUCAUAAAUAAUGUAAACACACACAUGCACAUAUAUAUAAUAUUAAUCAAGAAGACAAUAUUUCUAAGACUAAUUUACCAACUUUCCAAUAAUUUUGAAAGUGUGAAUAGGGUAAUUGACCGAAUUAAGGUCUUCAAAAUGUUCAAAAUUUCUCAAUUCCAAAAUUACCUAAUUGUUCUCCACACUAAUCCUAAAUAUUUUUCAAUAAAGAUUUAAAUAUUUAAAACCAUUAAAAUAAAUACUUUCUUAUUAAAGCAAAAUUUUCAAAGUAAUAAGAUAAAAAUCAUAAAAUCUUCAAAACUAUAAUUACAACAAAUAUUUUUAACUUUAAAACUAAUUUCAUAAUUUAAAUUAAUGAUUUUAAAAAAUAAAAAUGUUAUAAAAAUAAUUUUAGUUUAUUUUUAAUGUCAUUUAAAUAUGAUUUUUUUAAUCUUUAUUGAUAACAAUGAAAUUAUAUUUAUAAAGGUAAAAUAUUAAAAAUAUAUAUUUUAUUUAGUUUACUUAUAAUGAACAAUUUAAACAUGAUUGAUUUUAAUUUUAAUUUUAUUUUUUGUGUUAAUUUUUGUAGAGAAUGUCUUAAUGACAUGGUUUGGUAAAAAGAGGAAAAACAAAACUAUUAAUAAUCGUCUUAAUGUCAAAUUCAAGUUGUUUAAAAAUCGUACAAAACCUAUUAGAAGUCUUGUACACCUUUGUACACUUAGCACAUUUCUCUUGUACAGUUAGUGUAAUAUCCUUGUACAGUGAAUGUAAUACCCUUGUACAAUGAAUGUAAUACCCUUGUAUGAUGACACAAAUUUCAUAUAUCUCCUAAUUUAUAUGUCCAUGUAGGUGUAUUAAUCAUAUUUUCAAUGGUUUGGUUGAGAAAAUGGUGGAUGACUUAGGGUUAAUUUUUUUUCCCAAAAUAUCAUUAUUGAGAAAAAUAUUGGAAUUUUCAUAUGAGAGUUAAAUAAAGUGCAUGACAUAGGUGUACAAUCAUUGGGUGACAAGGAAAAUAAAAAAGUAGUUUAGAAUCAAUUAAAAUCAUUCACAAAGGUAAUCUUGUACACCUUUAUACAAUUAGUACAUUUCCCUUGUACAGUUAGUGUAAUACCCUUGUACAAUGACACAAAUUUUAUAUCUCUCCUAAGUUAUGUGUUCACGUAGAAGUGUUUAACUAUAUUUCCAAUGAUUUAGUUGAGAAGAUGGUAGAUGAUUUAAGGUCAAAAUUUUUUUUCUCCAAAUAUUAUUAUUAGGAAAAAUAUUGUAAUUUCCAUGUGGGAAUUAUAUAAAGUGCAUGAGAUAUGUGUACAAUUCAUGAGUGAUAAAAAAACAAUAAAAGAAUGACUCAUAAUCGAUUAUAAUAUUUCACAAAAUGGUAGCCUUGUACACCUUUGUACACUUAGUACAUUUCCCUUGUACAUUUAGUGUAAUACAAUUGUACAGUGACGCAAUAAAUGAAUAAAUAAAAUUUAUUAUUUUUUUAUUUUCAUAUAAAAAAAAUAGUACUAAACAAGGUUUUCAAUUUUCAUUUUAAAAAAUAGUUUUCAUUUUUUAAUUAAAAAUAUUUUCAAAAAGAGACAAUAUAGAAAAUAAAAAUUAUUUUUGAAAAUAAAAAACAAAAACUAGAAAAAUAUUUUAAAACAAAACUCCAAUAUAAUUUAUAUAAUUUUUAACUACUUGUUUUCAUCUAAAAUAAGUAAAUAUACCUUUCAACCUUUUUAUAUAAGAAAAAUUCAAUCUCUACUAUGUAUUGAUAUAAUCCACUUCUAAAGUUAGGUCAUAUGAAAACAUUUUAAUUAAGUACUUAAAAUAAAAACUUUCCAUCCAUCCUCUUUCUUUCUUUUUCUUUUUCUUAUUUUAAUAAAUUUUCAAUUAAUUCAAAUCAUUAAAAAAAACCUUAAUAAACAAAUUUGUAACAUUUCCUAUAACUUAUUACAAAAAGUUAUUAAAAUAAGGAAGAAGGAAGAUUAAAAAAAAUUAAACUAUUUAUUUUAUAAUAGUAAAAAAAAAAUUUAAAAUACUUUUUAAUAUAAAAAAAUUAAAAUAGUGAAUAUAUUUAUUUUAAAUAGUAUUUUAAUCAUUAAAUUAUUUACUUCUAAAAUGUAAAAGAUAAAAAUAAAUGUAAAAUAUAAUUUUUAUUUAUUUAAAUUAAUAUUUUUUUUAGAAAGUAUUUUCCAAAAUAGUCUUUGAAUCAUUAAUAUAAUUUUUGUUUAUUUAUAAUUUAAAAAUAAAAAAAUAAUGUUGAUUUUUCAAUUAUUUAUAAAAGAGUUUUAAAAAAUAAUGAAAAAUCCAAAAAUGGUUAAAUAAGAAAUAAAGUGGCAUGUGAAGGGUGGUAGAAUAAAGACAAAAAUGAGUUAAGUGGGUAUUUUUGUCUAUUCCUAUCUCAUAUCCUUGUAAUCAAUUAUGGGUGUUUGAAGAACUCUUUAUUAAUUAUAAAAGCCAAGUCGGUCUAAAGCCCAAUUCUCCCAAAAUAUAUUGGGUGAAAAGCGUUUGUAAAUUGCCAAAUUGUGAAACAACUUUUGUACAAGAAAGUAUGAUUUUAAUCAUGUCAAUUUACUUAAAACAUUUUGGUUUUAAAUCAUUUAUCAUAAAAAUAGGAUAAACAAAAAUAUAAAUUAGUGAUCAAAAAUCAAAAGUGUAGCUCUCCAACUUUCAAAGCAAAUAUAAAACCUAUUUGAAAAACAUUUUCGAAAAUGGUUUUUAAAAACAAGUUGUGAGAACCAAUUUUUUAAUAUUUUAUAAAAUAAAAAUUUGUUUGAAUGCUUGAAAAAUGUUUUUAAUCUAUUUUUCAUGUUUUAAAAAUAACUUUUAUUUAUGAUUUUUUAUUUUAGUUAUUUUCUAUAUUUAUAUAAUUAUUUUUUUAAAUCAUCCUUAAAAAAACAAGUAAAAACAAUGGCUGAAAACACAUUGUUUUCUAAUUUUAAAACCUGUUUUCCUAUAUUUUUGUUUUAGAAAAUAGAAAACUGUUUUAAAAAAUAGUUGACAACCAGACCAAGUUUUCUAACUCUUGGAUGCCUUGGAUUGGUAGAAGUACCAAUCUUUUCUUUACACUAUCUUCAAAGGUAAUCUAACUAUUAAUUUGAAUGUAAUGCUAAAUGCCUCGUAAUAUAGAAAAAUGGCCCUAUGAUUCUUUGUUUGUUUUUUGUUUUGAAAAUAACUACAAUCAUACCUUCUAAAGGAGAGAAUUGUUCAUGUUGUUUGGCGUUUUCCUAAAUUUCUGCAUCAACCACAAUACUAAGGUCAAUGAUUCUAGUCCAUUGAUGGGUUGACAUCAUAUCAACUAGUGCUUCUAUACAUAUAUUUCAUGCACACAUAUAACCUCAACUCGACCGGAAGGGAAUUCAAGCAGCAACGGUAUCCAUUCCUAGUCUGCAUAAUUGUGUUUUUGCACACAUGUGAUUGACCUUCACAGGCCAUCAACUACAAACCAACCCCAACAUGACCUCAAAUGGUAUGUCCAUAGUGUAAACUAAUAAACAUAGAUCCUUUAGAGAAUUUACCAGUCAUGAGUUCAGGACGUAGUGCCAAUGCAGUCUGGUAUCAGCACAACACACCCAGAAGUUUUCCGGCUCUCAAGGUCUGCAUGUGCCUGUGCAGCUUGUGACAAGGGGUAUGUGUGAUUUACACGAACCCGUAAGACACCUGAAGCAACAUUAGCAAAUACCUCUCCAGCUGCUUCCAGUAGCUCAUCUCGGGUUGCAGUGUAUUGCAUGAGGGAAGGCCUUGUCAAGAAGAGGGACUUAGCACCCAGAGAUGGUAAUGGUACUGGAUCUGGUAUACCUGAUGACUGUCCAAAAUUCACCAUGAACCCACGAGCCCUUAAGCAUGCCAAUG
rnacentral:lncRNA from 1 species